UAAAGACACUUUCUAGUAGGGAGGAAGGUAGUGUAGUUAACACCUGCAUUAUUUGACGUUACCUACAGAAGAAGCACCGGCUAACUACCGUGCCAGCAGCCGCGGUAAUACGGAGGGUGCGAGCGUUAAUCGGAAGUUACUGGGCGGUAAAGACGCAUGCAGGCGGCCUGUUAAGUUACAGAUGUGAAAAGCCCCGGGGCUUAACCUCGGAAUUGCAUUUGAAACUGGCAGGCUAGAGUCUUGUAGAGGGGGUAGAAUUUCAGGUGUAGCGGUGAAAUGCGUAGAGAUCUGAAGGAAUACCAGUGGCGAAGGCGGCCCCCUGGACAAAGACUGACGCUCAGAUGCGAAAGCGUGGGGAGCAAACAGGAUUAGAUACCCUGGUAG
rnacentral:rRNA from 1 species